GUGGGGAAUAUUGGACAAUGGGCGCAAGCCUGAUCCAGCAAUGCUGCGUGGGUGAAGAAGGUCUUCGGAUCGUAAAGCCCUUUCGACAGGGACGAUGAUGACGGUACCUGUAGAAGAAGCCCCGGCUAACUUCGUGCCAGCAGCCGCGGUAAUACGAAGGGGGCUAGCGUUACUCGGAAUUACUGGGCGUAAAGGGCGCGUAGGCGGCUCUGUUAGUCAGGCGUGAAAUUCCUGGGCUUAACCUGGGGACUGCGCUUGAUACUGCAGGGCUUGAGGCCGAGAGAGGGUGGUGGAAUUCCCAGUGUAGAGGUGAAAUUCGUAGAUAUUGGGAAGAACACCGGUGGCGAAGGCGACCACCUGGCUCGGUUCUGACGCUGAGGCGCGACAGCGUGGGGAGCAAACAGGAUUAGAUACCCCAGUAGUCC
rnacentral:rRNA from 1 species